rnacentral:rRNA from 1 species
AACGAACGCUGGCGGCAUGCCUAACACAUGCAAGUCGAACGAGACCUUCGGGUCUAGUGGCGCACGGGUGCGUAACGCGUGGGAAUCUGCCCUUGGGUUCGGGAUAACAGUUGGAAACGACUGCUAAUACCGGAUGAUGUCUUCGGACCAAAGAUUUAUCGCCCAGGGAUGAGCCCGCGUCGGAUUAGCUAGUUGGUGAGGUAAAGGCACACCAAGGCGACGAUCCGUAGCUGGUCUGAGAGGAUGAUCAGCCACACUGGGACUGAGACACGGCCCAGACUCCUACGGGAGGCAGCAGUGGGGAAUAUUGGACAAUGGGCGAAAGCCUGAUCCAGCAAUGCCGCGUGAGUGAUGAAGGCCUUAGGGUUGUAAAGCUCUUUUACCCGGGAUGAUAAUGACAGUACCGGGAGAAUAAGCCCCGGCUAACUCCGUGCCAGCCGCCGCGGUAAGAC